AUCAGGUAGGGAUACCCGCUGAACUUAAGCAUAUCAAUACCCGGAGGAA
rnacentral:rRNA from 1 species